ensembl:lncRNA
CCUCAAAAUAACUCAACACACAGUCAUUAAAAGUGAAAAUGUCCAAAUUGGGCCCAAAGUGUGAGUAUUUUGUGUGGCCACCAUUAUUUUCCAGCACUGCCUUAACCCUCUUGGGCAUGGAAUUCACCAGAGCUUCACAGGUUGCCACUGGAGUCCUCUUCCACUCCUCCAUGACGACAUCACAGAGCUGGUGGAUGUUAGAGACCUUGCGCUCCUCCACCUUCCGUUUGAGGAUGCCCCACAGAUGCUCAAUAGGGUUUAGGUCUGGAGACAUGCUUGGCCUGUCCAUCACCUUUACCCUCAGGAUCUUUAGCAAGGCAGUGGUCGUCUUGGAGGUGUGUUUGGGGGCGUUAUCAUGUUGGAAUACUGCCCCUGCGGCCCAGACUCCAAAGGGAUGGAUCAUGCUCUGCUUCAUUAUGUCACAGUACAUGUUGGCAUUUAUGGUUCCCUCAAUGAACUGUAGCUCCCCAGUGGCGGCAGCACUCAUGCAGUCCCAGACCAUGACACUCCCACCACCAUGCUUGACUGUAGGCAAGACACACUUGUCUUUGUACUCCUCACCUGGUUGCCGCCACACACGCUUGACACCAUCUGAACCAAAUAAGUUUAUCUUUGUCUCAUCAGACCACAGGACAUGGUUCCAGUAAUCCAUGUCCUUAGUCUGCUUGUCUUCAGCAAACUGUUUGUGGGCUUUCUUGUGCAUCAUCUUUAGAAGAGGCUUCCUUCUGGGACAACAGCCAUGCAGACCAAUUAGAUGCAUUGUGUGGCGUAUGGUCUGAGCACUGACAGGCUGACCCCCCACCCCUUCAACCUCUGCAGCAAUGCUGGCAGCACUCAUACGUCUAUUUCCCAAAGACAACCACUGUAUAGUCUUGGCCACCGUGCUGCAGCUCAGUUUCAGGGUCUUGUUAAUCUUCUUAUAGCCUAGGCCAUUUUUAUGUAGUGCAACAAAAAAAAAAUCAGAUCCUCAGAGAGUUCUUUGCCAUGAGGUACCACGUUGAACUUCCAGUGACCAGUAUGAGGGAGUGUGAGAGCGAUAACUUUAACACAUCUUCUCCCCAUUCACACCUAAGACCUUGGGGGAGGGAAAAUGGCUAAUUGAGCCCAAUUUGGACAUUUUCACUUAGGGGUGUACUCACUUUUGUUGCCAGCGGUUUAGACAUUAAUAGCUGUGUGUUGUGUUAUUUUGAGGGGACACCAAAUUUACAUUGUUAUGCAAGCUGUACACUCACUACUUUACAUUGUAGC